GAUGAAGAACGCAGUGAAAUGCGAUAAGUAAUGUGAAUUGCAGAAUUCAGUGAAUCAUCGAAUCUUUGAACGCACAUUGCGCCCCUUGGUAUUCCGAGGGGCAUGCCUGUUCGAGCGUCAUUUCAACCCCUCAAGCUUAGCUUGGUGUUGGGCUGCGCCAGCGUUGCUGGCGGGCCUUAAAAUCAGUGGCGGUGCCGUUUGGGCUCCAAGCGUAGUAGCAUCUCUCGCUCUGGAGACCCGGCGGUUGCUUGCCAGACAAUCACUAAAAAAACAAAGGUUUGACCUCGGAUCAGGUAGGGAUACCCGCUGAACUUAAGCAUAUCAAUAAGCGGAGGA
rnacentral:misc_RNA from 1 species